CCCCGCCCUCAAAUUCUUCGUUAUCCACCGCUGCCUGAUAUUCAAUUUCUUCGUAUUUCUGCCUUCAACAAUAAAGGAACAUGCAGGUUCUACUUUUGAGGAUUGUUGUCCACAUUUGUUUUCAUAACUCUACGACUAUGGUGAAUCCUAUAGAACCAAACUCAUCAUGUUUAAGAGAAAUAUCAGGUUUUCUUCUCAAUGAAAUUGCUCCUCUCAUAAACCUCAUCGUGUCUAAGAGAAGAUGAAGGGAAAAGUUGAACCAUCCAUCUCUUUGUCAACCAAAGGGAAGAAGUCUUGGUAAUAUCACCUUCAUCGUAUGGCUUCAAAUCGACUCAAAAAUCGUCUCAACAAGGAAUUGAUUAUGUUAAAUCGAAUGAUCAUCUGGCUAUGUAGAGAGAUGAUAUCUGUGGUAAUUAUUUACAGAUUUCUGUUAUGCUAAUGAUUUUGCAAUUUUGCUUUUCAGUUUUCCAGAAUUUAUUGUGAGGCAGUUUGGCUAUAUUUUUCUAUGGAUUUCAAUUUGUUCAUUCACGUUUCAUUUGCAUCAACUGAUGAAACUCAUUUUCUUGAAGUUCCGUUGGAUGUUUUAUUGCUCUUUCAUUUUAUUUUCAUGCAGUUUAUGUCGCGAUAGCUCAUUGUCUUGAUCUUUAAUUUGUCCAAGUUUCAUGUCGUGGUCCAGGGUCUACUGCUAACUGGAAUUCUCAUUUGCUGUCUUCUAUUUCCAAUGCAAUUCCUAGCACGUCAUAGAACAUAGCAAACGAAAUAAAAUUAUCUUAGGUCCUAGAGCAUGUGGAUUGAUAGUAUUGGCGUGAUGUUGUUACUGAAGAUUGCUAGGGUAGUGAAGAUGGUUCUGAUUCUGAGUGAGUUUUUUGUGUUUUUAUCAUUCUUUUUCUAUAUAAUUGUGUUUCUAGGACACUGGUUGAUAGUGACCACUGAUGGAAAUUUCCAUUCGAAGUGAGUACAUGACUUUUUUUUUUUUACCUUUCUUAGAUUCAUUAUGACUAAUUUUAGUUAUCUGCAAACAUAUAUAUUACCGGUUCAAACCACAGUUGAACAAUUUUUAUAGGUUAUAGUGGAUAAUUUUAUUGUGGAGCAUGUAGAUGACUACAGUUUGCAAUGUUGGGAUAUUGUAAGAUAAACUAAGCAAGGGGAGAUUAGGAGAAUCUCAUUACCGAGGUGAUUCAAGGUUUGCAUUGCGACCGAUGUAUUUGGCUAAUUUGUAUGAGCAUUUAGUACCUAAAAUGUGUGUAGGAGGCUUGCAUCUUUUGAUGGAAUUUUGAUAGCACUAUGACCAUUGGGUAGUACUUCUCAAGAUGGUGGUUCGUAUAGAAAACUGGAAAAAUUGUAUCCAUGGAAAUGUGUUGAUCUCAAAUUAUAGACAUCCAAUUCAGAUUACAUGUUCAUAUAUGACAGCUGCUUUGGCCUCACCAAGUCGGUUGGUUAAUGACCAUCACAAGUAUCCCUCUGGGUGUUAAUCAGGUGAGCUAUCUGUUUCGUGUGAAUUAUGAUUUUCUUAUUACCACAAACAUGCACUUGAAUAAAGUGGACAAGAAGAUCAUUUUUAUACAAAUUUUCGGUAUUCCAGUAAAGACCAUAGUGGGGAAACCCCGAUUAUGCAUUUCACACUCUGAUGACACAAGUGUUCACUGGCUUAUGCUUUGUUUCUAAUUAAGCAGUGCUGUAAAGAAGUAUUGGAUCAAUACCAAGCUUAUAAAUGGUUUCGAAAGGCUCAUCGAAGCAAAAUAUAUGAUAUUUCGAUUCUCCGAACAGACUUUCGUAACUUAUCGCAUCUUCGACUUUUGAUUCUAUUAUUUUUUCUUAUUGUCCCUAUUAAAAUUUUUAUUUAUGUUUACAGUUAAACCUAAUGAGAAAAAUUAUGUUUUUAAUGUAAGGGUUUUUGUUAUUCUUCAUCUGUCUUUAUUUAAACUUUAAAGUAAACAGGCGGACGGGCGAUGCCGUGACCAGCAUCCAAGAAAUAGAUACCAAAAAAGAAGCAUUAAAAGGUUGCAGUGUGAAACAAUCGACACUCACUUUAAGAAUGUAAAGAUUAUGUCAACUGAUUUAGCAUUUCUAGGGCUGUAAAUUUCUCUCAAGUCCAAGGAUAUGAUAUUCUAAUGUACCUCGCUGAUCAUGAGGUAUCGAUUAUCGACAUGGGCGGAAUUCGAUCUAGGAAGUGCUCUUGUUUACUCGAAAACCAUGAAUAGCUUCGUCAUACUUUUUCAAGUCAACGCUAUUUCUGAUUUAAGGGUUUGAUUUAAAUGUAACUGAUACUAUAAUUUUAUUGAUUCACAGGGUCAGGAUCUUAAACUCUUCUGCAACCCCAUAGCAAAUGAACUGGUUCCAAAUAAAGAGUUUGGGAUUGCAUUUAAUAGUAUUUAAAUUUUACACUUCCUAUAAUCAACUGUAUAAAUAAUGUUUCUUAGAUAGGGAGAGGAUAGUGUUGCGCGGUCCAACAGGUUGCCAAGGGGGAAUGCUAAUAUUAACCAUUUAUAGAUAGUAGGAACUAACGGAUUAUGAAGAAGCAAUUUAAGUGUUGCAUGAGGUGUAUGGUGAUGUUCAGGAGCUUGAUAUAUUGGUGGAGCUUUUGGCCGAGAAAAAGAUUAAUGGUUUUGCCAUCAGUGAGACAACUUUCUUCACAUUCGCUAUCACGGCAUCAAGGAUGGAUCACCAAGAGUGCGUAAUUCUUCAGUUUCAGCGUAUCGCCCACCUUCAUUUACGGGCAUUUUUGGGAAAUAAAUCUUUUUGGAAAAUUCCGCUGGAAAAGUUGAUUUUGACACCCGGAAGGCGUAUGUUAUCUGGACUCUCAACUUUGGAUAAGGGGGAACCCAAUUGCUAUGGGGCAUUCCAGUGCUACUCGCACCCCACACCCGGAUAGGGGGACGCCACUUCUUCACAAGAAAUAGAAAAGUGGCGGGAGUUUAUCAGUUCAAAAAUUUAUUGCCGCGUAACUUUUGGCAGAGAAUUUGGAGGGGAUUUAUUGAGAUUCGAUGACCGGAUUUAAUUGAUAUCACCCUGUUUCAAUUAAACAGGGAUGGUAAUGUGUUUUGUUUCGUCAAAAAAGGGCUAGAUUAUCGGCUUGAUGUAAAACAUGGUCCACAAGAAUAUCGGGUUUUCAAUUCUGUUUUCCGGUGUUUAUUGUGAUAUAUACGGUGGAUGGACUGAGUAUUUCUCUAAUUGAACGUGAACAUAGCAUGUUGGGUGUGUGUCGACAUCAACAGAUACUUGAAGAAGGAAUAAAAUCUUCGCAGAGAAGGAAAUUAUCCCGUGGAGAAUAAAAACAAUAAUGGAGAAGAUACGGGAAUUAAACUCGAGUUAUGUUGAUCCUGUGAGUAUAUAUAGGAUGCUGGGGACUCAGAGAAGGGGAUGGAGAGUGAGGAGACGGAAUAGGUGAGAAAUCAGAGUUGCAGAGCUUGUCUCUGCUGCUGCCAUUGAAGGAGAUAACGAAAAACAUAAGAUGCCCAGGAGCAGUCGUUUUGCUACAGUGACAACGACAGUUAAUUGUUAUCGUUCUCUGUAACAAUUGAGUUUGUAACAAAUAUAAGUGUUACAACUCCGUUUUUAUUAUUUUUUUUCCUAUUUCAUUAUUGUGAACACCCUUUUGAGCAAUGUAAAAUUCUUUUGAGCGUGGUUUCAGCAUGCGGAGCUAGAACCCAUCACUGGGACGACGGAGGAAGUUGUU